rnacentral:tRNA from 1 species
GACCUCGUGGCCAAAAUGGACAAGGCACCGGACUUCUAAUCCGAAGAUUGUGGGUUCGAGUCCCGCCGAGGUUG